GACGAACGCUGGCGGCGUGCCUAAUACAUGCAAGUUGAGCGCUGAAGGUUGGUACUUGUACCAACUGGAUGAGCAGCGAACGGGUGAGUAACGCGUGGGGAAUCUGCCUUUGAGCGGGGGACAACAUUUGGAAACGAAUGCUAAUACCGCAUAAAAACUUUAAACACAAGUUUUAAGUUUGAAAGAUGCAAUUGCAUCACUCAAAGAUGAUCCCGCGUUGUAUUAGCUAGUUGGUGAGGUAAAGGCUCACCAAGGCGAUGAUACAUAGCCGACCUGAGAGGGUGAUCGGCCACAUUGGGACUAAGACACGGCCCAAACUCCUACGGGAGGCAGCAGUAGGGAAUCUUCGGCAAUGGACGAAAGUCUGACCGAGCAACGCCGCGUGAGUGAAGAAGGUUUUCGGAUCGUAAAACUCUGUUGGUAGAGAAGAACGUUGGUGAGAGUGGAAAGCUCAUCAAGUGACGGUAACUACCCAGAAAGGGACGGCUAACUACGUG
rnacentral:rRNA from 1 species